UACAUAUAGAUUCCUACACUGCAACAAGUGUAUUACGAUAUUUCUCCACUCGAGACAGUUAAAUUUUAUUAUUUAAAGCGCGAGGCUUGCCGAGCUCUUUAAAUAACUAAGAUUUAACUGUCGAGAUGGAAAUAUCGUUACACGAGUUAUAGUGUAGGAAUCUGUUUCUCUAAUGAUUUUUAUCCUUCUUUUUCAAAGAUUUUCAGAAACUUGUGUUCUUUAUAUGCGACGUCAUCAGGCAUGGUCGCCUUUUUUCAUGACGUCACAAUAGGAAAAUUCAGAAGAAAACAAAACAAUUAGACGUCAUAAUCAAAUUUCGACUAAA
rnacentral:lncRNA from 1 species